rnacentral:rRNA from 1 species
GACGAACGCUGGCGGCGUGCUUAACACAUGCAAGUCGAACGGAAAGGCCUGCUUUCCCUUGUGGAUUGCGGGUACUCGAGUGGCGAACGGGUGAGUAACACGUGAGUGAUCUGCCCCCAACUUGGGUAUAAGCCUGGGCAACUGGGUCUAAUUCCCGAUAGUACUGCAGGGUGGUGCCUGUGGUGGAAAACGAUUUUCUAGUGGUUGGGGAUGAGCUCGCGGCCUCUCAGCUUGUUGGUGGGGUAAUGGCCUACCAAGGCGGCGACGGGUAGCCGGCCUGAGAGGGUGGACGGCCACAUUGGGACUGAGAUACGGCCCAGACUCCUACGGGAGGCAGCAGUGGGGAAUAUUGCACAAUGGGCGGAAGCCUGAUGCAGCGACGCCGCGUGGGGGAUGACGGCCUUCGGGUUGUAAACUCCUUUCGACCGCGAGGAAGCCACCUGGUUGGAAGGGUGGUGACGGUAGUGGUAGAAGAAGCACCGGCUAACUACGUG